AUGACGGCAGCCUCCUCGAUAGGCGUCUGGGCGGCCCCGAACUCUCCCUUUUUAUCGUGUGCGUGUGUGUUUUUUUGUUUUUGGGUGCUCCAAUUUUUCUGUUGUGUUGCAGCUAGGGCAACAUUGUUUGUGCUACUAGGGAGUGGCAACAUUGUCAAACCUUUCCCUUCCUAGUUAGGUUACAAUGCCUGCAAUGGGCCACCAGUUUUAGUUGGAUUUUGAUUGGAUUUCUUUGAUUAAGUUGAGGUUGACGAGCUGACUUAAGUCACUAUACUGAUCUUUACCAGCUCAAAUCUAGGAGGCUCUUGCAGUGAGGCGGUUGUUCUUGUCAAUGUUGGUUCAAUCAGUUUUUUUCCCCUGUACGCAAGAUUUUGACAAAUUAUGGUCGAUGCAAUAGUUCUUCUUUCCAGUUUAUACUCGACAGUGUGAGAAAGCCAUUUUGGCAGUUGUCGACGAGUUGGAGUCACGAUCCUCCAUUGAUAGCCACAAGGUCAACAAGCGACAGUGCUGUGGCGAUGAUGCGUCCUGAUAUGCUGCGGUAGUGUAAAGGAAUACGACUUCUUUGCAACUAGCGAUGGGGGAAGUGGUGCUGAUCUUGUAGGUGGCCGACGACGCUAGGAGGAACUGGUGUUUUUGUUCCUUCUUUGUCAAAUUUUAUUUCUUCCUUAGUUCUGAACUUCGAGUCAAGCGAAGUUUGCGGGUUGUGUUUUUUUUCAUGUUGGAGGGUGUGUCUGUAUGUGAAAAGCCACCCCUGUCUUUUUGUUUUUUCUUCUUUUCCUCGGCAGAAGCAUAGGUUGGUUGUGGAGCGUGCGGCGGUUCCAUGUUCACUUCCACUGGCAGUUUGAACCUCCGUGGGGCGAAGUGAGCCACAUCUUGUCGCAGUUGGAAUGCCAUCCAUUCUGGUGUCAACGCUACACUAGGUGUUGUUUGCGGUGGUUGUGCGACUCGACAUGACGAUAUAAAGCCUCGUCGCUGCGGUUAAAUCAAGGAUUUGUUGAUCAGCUAGGGUGGCAGUUGGCUCCUCUCCGACGUUGCUAGGUGAUUUUGGAGUCCAAUUGCUGCCAAUCCGGACAGUUUUGGAUCUUCUCGGAGAUUGGUGUAUAGAAGAUUAAUCCAGUCAAUUAGUGAUCGACGCCCUCGAGCUGGUUGCGUACGGCAUGUUUCUUCGAUGUCGCCUUAGAUUUUGGUUCUAAAGCUGCAGCUUAGAUUUUCAUGCCACUCCUACAGAAUUCGUAGGAUUGAUUGAGUCUCUAUCCGCCAACAAGUGUGCGUGAUCACAAUUUAAUGUGCACAUAUGAACGCCCUGCGACACUUAAUCAAACUUAGUUGUACCCCAUAGUUCAGCAUCUACGGAACUUAAAGGCUCUAUUACUUGAUAAAUCUAGAUUCAAACCACAAUUAUCCUCAUGACAUACCAUCCGUGUUCAUGUAGUCGCCUCAUACAUUUAGUUAAUAGGUUCGUUUGGUGGGUGUGAGGUAAGCCCUAAUCGUUGGACUCUAGUCGAUCAAGAUUGUGCUAGAGGCAAGAGAUGAAGGUUGAGCAUUUCGAGGAUCUCCAAGUUGUUGAUGCGGAGCCAAACCGUGUGAUAAGAAGGAGGAGAACUUGCAUUCAACUCCGACUUUGUCACCCUACAUUCCUAUUGCUAAAUCGGCUGACUGGAGGCAAAUGUGACUGGACAUUUGGCAGCAUCCUUCUUCCCCUUCUGUGAUCAACGGAGUGAACUCCGGAUUGGGCAAGAUUGUGGGUGCGGCAAUUUGUAGAGAUGUUGGCGUUGACUUUUGAUCUGCAGUUGUUACAUUCAUGGUGGCACUGAUGCAAGAAGUGGAGCAAGAGAGCCUUUGCUUGUGGAUGAGGUCUUGAGGAGGAUGUAGAUAGUUGAAGAAGUUGUGCACGAUGGUAGAGGAAGUCUUCCAUCUUCUCGACGGCAGGAAGGAGUGCUCAGAUCGGGAAUUUCAGACUUGCUUAGUCUUCCAAGCGAUUGAGGUGCUGUGUUGUUAGGUCGACCCUCACUGGGUUUUGCAAUUGGGCGAUCAGACAAAGAUGGCAGAGUGUGGCAGGCUGCGAUGGAAUUCGACUCACAGCAGGUCGACUAGUGCAGCAAUCUCCUUCGGCUCAGUGAGACUAUUUACACUGAUUAGGGUGGAUUUUGGGUGCAAGUAGGUUAGGUUCUAGGGCAAACGACUUGGAUGAAUUUUUAAAUCAAUGAUAAAUUUAUAAAGCAUGGAUGAAUCUUAAAUUGGA